AUUGAACGCUGGCGGCAGGCCUAACACAUGCAAGUCGAGCGAGCGGCGGACGGGUGAGUAAUGUAUGGGGACUGCCCGAUAGAGGGGGAUAACUACUGGAAACGGUGGCUAAUACCGCAUACUAUCGGAUAACCCAUAUGGGAUUAGCUAGUAGGUGGGGUAAAGGCUUACCUAGGCGACGAUCUCUAGCUGGUCUGAGAGGAUGAUCAGGCAAACUGGGAAUGAGAAACGGCCCAGACCCCUACGGAGGCAGCAGGGGGGAAUAUUGGACAAUGGGCGCAAGCCUGAUGCAGCCAUGCCGCGUGUUGGAAGAAGGCCUUAGGGUUGUAAAGUACUUUAAGUGGGGAAGCGUUACCCGCAGAAGAAGCACCGGCUAACUCCGUGCCAGCAGCCGCGGUAAUUC
rnacentral:rRNA from 1 species